rnacentral:rRNA from 1 species
GUCCACGCCGUAAACGAUGGGCGCUAGGUGUGGGGGGUGUCGACUCCCUCCGUGCCGAAGCUAACGCAUUAAGCGCCCCGCCUGGGGAGUACGGCCGCAAGGCUAAAACUCAAAGGAAUUGACGGGGACCCGCACAAGCAGCGGAGCAUGUGGUUUAAUUCGACGCAACGCGAAGAACCUUACCUGGGCUUGACAUGUUGGUGACAAACGUGGAAACACGUCUUCUUCGGACACCAUCACAGGUGGUGCAUGGCUGUCGU